UCCUCCAGGAACACCUUAGGGGAAAAUCCACACUUGGUGUCCGGUCAAAGUGUGCUAUCAUCGACUAACCUUAGCCUGCUUCUUGCACCCCUCCAGACAUCCAGCUUUCCCUCCCACAGCACCGCUGACCACCAGGGUCGGAUGAUAAUGAUGAU